UACGAACCGUCCAAACGUUACUCGGAAUCACUGGGCUUAAAGGGUGCGUAGGUGGCGCUGUAAGUCGGGUGUGAAAUUUCGGAGCUUAACUCCGAAACUGCAUUCGAUACUGCGGUGCUUGAGGACUGGAGAGGAGACUGGAAUUCAUGGUGUAGCAGUGAAAUGCGUAGAGAUCAUGAGGAAGACCAGUGGCGAAGGCGGGUCUCUGGACAGUUCCUGACACUGAGGCACGAAGGCCAGGGGAGCAAACGGG
rnacentral:rRNA from 1 species